AGAAAAUUUUCAAAAUCAAAACCCUAACCCAUCUAACCAGGCCUCUCUCUCCACAGGCCCAUCCCACUCCCUUUUCCCUCUUCCCACCGGAGGCCCAGCUCCCACACUCUUCCCCGGCCCACUUCCUUCUCUCCACCUCUGGCCCGUACCGGUUCGGAGACGAGACCGAGUCUCCCUUCCUCGUUGAUUUCCACCUGCAGGCAGAAGGCGUGAUCCCUUUCUUUUCCCCAUGGCCGUGCGUGGUCCUCCCUCCCCUCACCUGCUCCCUCACACGCCUCCUCCGUCUCUCUGCUUUAUCUGGCAGGCUGGAGCCUCACGCAAACCCCAUCUCCACUCACCUCUGCAUUCCCUUUCCCCUCCUUUUCUUCACUCCCACGAAAGGAAACGAGAUGGAGAAACCCCCUCUGCCACCACCGUCCUCACCAUGGCUCCGCCUCCACAGACCAUCCCCCGCCGUUCCGAGGGCACCGGCGGAUGCGCCUCGUCCUCCUCUUCAACCUGGUUCAAGGAAUCGAGCCGGGGCUGGCUCAAUCAACGUCAAAAUCGCCGUUCCCUUCUUCGUCCCCAGCGAGAAAAUCUUCGAUUCCGGCGACACCAGGCCUCCCCCUGCCGUUCCGAGGUCAUCUACACGUUCCUGGUAACGAGAUGUCGCCGGCGGUGACACUCCGGUGACCCCCUGGACUCCGCAUCGCCACCACUAUCUUCCCCACGUCGAACCGAACCCCCGACGCCCUCACCCUCGUCCUGGUUCGCUACCAACCGCGAGAUCCGUCUGCGACCUGACCUUCUCCCCGCCAUGGCUGUUCUGGCCCGAGCUCCGCCUCUAGUUGGGUCAGAAGGUUGCCUGCUUCUCACUAGGCACGACAUACACAGUAGCCCAGUGAUCCGGCGCCUACUGGGCCUUGACCCAGAUCCUCCGACCCAGCCUAUCUCCCCGUGCGCCCAGCUCUUAUCCGUCGCCACUUCCAGGCCAGAUCCGGCCCAGAGAUAUCGCAGUAUUUGCUUCUUCCCGGAUAGGAUCGCGAAGUGGUGUGGUGAGAUACGACAAGUUCUCCGGAUGUUCCUCGGCAAGCUUUAACAGGCAAGCAUUUCCCCUAUACUCCUGUCCCUGCAGGAGUCGCUUACCUAUUUUAUUUUGCCUUCUCCCUCAUGCUAUCCUUAAGUUGUGUUCUUGUCACGUGUCCUUUCCACUUGUUACCUCAAGCAGCCCAUAUUGCCACCACCACCUCCUACGGCUAUUGUUUGGUUAUCGAGUCUGCCCUUGCGAGUCGUAGUGCAUGCUAGUGCUGUCUCAUCUUGUUACUGUUGUUGUUAUCUUAUUGGGUUAUAUGUUGGGAAGAAUCAUGGUUACUUUAGUUGUUGAUAUUUGUUUAGCGGAGGCAUCGGUGGGUCAGCUGAUCGUUUUAUGACGGCUCACUUGUGUUUCCUUAAUAUCUUAGGACCCCGAGUUCUUGUUAUCUGUUCCGAGACUGAGCGCUCUAACCACACGUGGGUAUGCUUACCGUGUCUCCCCUCGACCACUGCCGUAAUCUACAGCCUUGUCCAGUGGCCACAACUAGUUUGGAUGUUUGUUUUGUUUCUCCCGGGCGUGCAAGCUUGUUUCUUUGUGGUCAGAUGAUAUGAUGUUACUCUUGGGGAAGCCAUGUUGCCUUGUAACCCCGUUGUCUCUUGCACGCUCGUAGGAUGCGGUACGUAUUGCUGAAGAUGGAUUCACCCUGCGGGCACUGUUUCCAUCCGAAAGCCGUAGACGCAAACAGCUAAGUCCGCGUCGGAGUUUCGAUCGGGCUCCGAAACGGGUUAACUUAGUUAGGUGGCUUCCUGGACAUUGUUGUCGUGAAGGAGAGUGCGUGUCGUGAUAUCCACCUGUCGUAAGUGGGUUGAUCAUGCGUGUGGGCACAUUUGGGCACCCCUGCAGGGUUACAUCUUAUCGAUAAGCCGCGUCCGCGGUUAUGGACGACUUGGAGCUGUAUGACUCGACCAUAGACAACUUACACCUGUUGAUUCAAUACUAAUAACUUGCAUAGUAAGAUAGAACAACUUAAAUAAUAACUAGUUAAAACUUGACAAUAGUGUGAGUGCCUUUGUAAGUACUUCUUUGCGAAGGGGGAAAGCGUUGGAUGUGUUAUGUUUGCAGAGCAUAGAACUGUUAGUUUUUGCGCUCUCUCAUCUCCUCUGAUUAGACGAAUGUUGUAGAGUGUCUCUAUAGGUUUUUAGUGCUUGCGCGCUGCCGCUUAACCCCACCAUAUUGCCUAUGACGUUCCUCUUGCGUCCUCUAAGUCCCCUGCGUGCCUCAAGUACAAAGGACGACUGGUUGACGAAUGCUUAUACGUCUUGAAGUCUUGUUAAGUACGAACCCGUACUUAUUGCUGCUUCUACGGGAUAUAACCGGGCAGGUAUGAAGAUAUGUUCGAUGAAGACGACGUUAGCAAGGUUACCCUUCCGGCUUGGCCUGGGCAGGGUUAUGGACGCCGCUGAUUAUCUUCAGGACUCUUAGUCCAAUAUGUAUCUUGUCCGUACUCGGACCCUUUGAUCUUCUGUAUGAUUUGGAUCUUUGUAUGGUAUAUUUGUAUCUUGACUCCUGGAGUCAUUGUUGUAAUAUAUGUUUCUUGUGGGCUCUAUUGUAAACUUGUUGUAAUGUUACUGCUCGUGUUAAUUCCUCUGGCAUCACGUGUGUGAUUCGUCGCACAUGUCGUGUCGGAGGGCGUCUCUGAAUCGAUAUCGUGCGGAUUUCGGCGGGAUCGCUGGGAUCCUCAUGUUACCGGUUCCGGGGCGUCACAAGUUGGUAUCAGAGCUCAGGUUGACGGUACCUCACAAGUUGGUAUCAGAGCCUCAGGUUGACGGUACCCCACUAGUCCAGCCUUUAGGAUAGCCUUGCCAACGGUCGUUGAGUUUAGAGUGUCAAAACUAUUUUCAAAAAUUCGUUGGAUAGAUCUGAUUAGCUCUAUUUUUCUUCUUAUCUAUAAUCUUUCUCCUCUUACCUUUGCGAGUUUUUGAUCUUCUCUCUUAUCUGCUUCUCCGAGUCCUAGGUUCCGAUGCGGGUUGGACGAUCUUUGCCUUAUCCUAAUAGGUCCGAUCUUUGGAGGAUCUCGACGGAAGUGCAUCAUCGUCAACAAACAACGACUUCUUGUUAGUGGUGUCGCCGAUCUACGUGGAGCAAGAAUUCUUGUUAGUGGUGUCGAGAAGAUCAACAGUUCGCCAGAAGAAGGUUCCACCUCGAGGUCGGCUGUUUGUCAACAUGGUACAAGAAGACUCGAUAGUUUAACCAACUCCCCCUUGGCUUGACGUGGAACCUCGGGGCGAGGUUCCUUGUUAGUGGUGUCGAUUGUAACGGCCCCGGGUAGCACCCCUAUUAGAUUUUGUUUGUUCUCUUUCUUUUGUGCAUUCAUCAUGCAUCAUGCAUCAUAUCAUGCACAAGAUUUUAUCAAAUAAAAUUUAUUUAUAAAUAAAAACUAUUUCGGUUUCCCUCUCAUAUGGGUUUAUAUUAAACCCUCUCUUUAUCCUUUCUUUACACAAAAUCCCUAACAAUCAAAACUAUAUAAAUAAACAAAACUAUUUCAAAUGUCUUACAGAUUUAAAAAUGGUUUGGCUUUGUUUGGUUUUGUUUCAAAUACCAAAUCAGUUUUGAAAAUAAGAGAGAAAAGAAAAUUUUCAAAAUCAAAACCCUAACCCAUCUAACCAGGCCUCUCUCUCCACAGGCCCAUCCCACUCCCUUUUCCCUCUUCCCACCGGAGGCCCAGCUCCCACACUCUUCCCCGGCCCACUUCCUUCUCUCCACCUCUGGCCCGUACCGGUUCGGAGACGAGACCGAGUCUCCCUUCCUCGUUGAUUUCCACCUGCAGGCAGAAGGCGUGAUCCCUUUCUUUUCCCCAUGGCCGUGCGUGGUCCUCCCUCCCCUCACCUGCUCCCUCACACGCCUCCUCCGUCUCUCUGCUUUAUCUGGCAGGCUGGAGCCUCACGCAAACCCCAUCUCCACUCACCUCUGCGUUCCCUUUCCCCUCCUUUUCUUCACUCCCACGAAAGGAAACGAGAUGGAGAAACCCCCUCUGCCACCACCGUCCUCACCAUGGCUCCGCCUCCACAGACCAUCCCCCGCCGUUCCGAGGGCACCGGCGGAUGCGCCUCGUCCUCCUCUUCAACCUGGUUCAAGGAAUCGAGCCGGGGCUGGCUCAAUCAACGUCAAAAUCGCCGUUCCCUUCUUCGUCCCCGGCGAGAAAAUCUUCGAUUCCGGCGACACCAGGCCUCCCCCUGCCGUUCCGAGGUCAUCUACACGUUCCUGGUAACGAGAUGUCGCCGGCGGCGACACUCCGGUGACCCCCUGGACUCCGCAUCGCCACCACUAUCUUCCCCACGUCGAACCGAACCCCCGACGCCCUCACCCUCGUCCUGGUUCGCUACCAACCGCGAGAUCCGUCUGCGACCUGACCUUCUCCCGCCAUGGCUGUUCUGGCCCGAGCUCCGCCUCUAGUUGGGUCAGAAGGUUGCCUGCUUCUCACUAGGCACGACAUACACAGUAGCCCAGUGAUCCGGCGCCUACUGGGCCUUGACCCAGAUCCUCCGACCCAGCCUGUCUCCCCGUGCGCCCAGCUCUUAUCCGUCGCCACUUCCAGGCCAGAUCCGGCCCAGAGAUAUCGCAGUAUUUGCUUCUUCCCGGAUAGGAUCGCGAAGUGGUGUGGUGAGAUACGACAAGUUCUCCGGAUGUUCCUCGGCAAGCUUUAACAGGCAAGCAUUUCCCCUAUACUCCUGUCCCUGCAGGAGUCGCUUACCUAUUUUAUUUUGCCUUCUCCCUCAUGCUAUCCUUAAGUUGUGUUCUUGUCACGUGUCCUUUCCACUUGUUACCUCAAGCAGCCCAUAUUGCCACCACCACCUCCUACGGCUAUUGUUUGGUUAUCGAGUCUGCCCUUGCGAGUCGUAGUGCAUGCUAGUGCUGUCUCAUCUUGUUACUGUUGUUGUUAUCUUAUUGGGUUAUAUGUUGGGAAGAAUCAUGGUUACUUUAGUUGUUGAUAUUUGUUUAGCGGAGGCAUCGGUGGGUCAGCUGAUCAUUUUAUGACGGCUCACUUGUGUUUCCUUAAUAUCUUAGGACCCCGAGUUCUUGUUAUCUGUUCCGAGACUGAGCGCUCUAACCACACGUGGGUAUGCUUACCGGGUCUCCCCUCGACCACUGCCGUAAUCUACAGCCUUGUCCAGUGGCCACAACUAGUUUGGAUGUUUGUUUUGUUUCUCCUGGGCGUGCAAGCUUGUUUCUUUGUGGUCAGAUGAUAUGAUGUUACUCUUGGGGAAGCCAUGUUGCCUUGUAACCCCGUUGUCUCUUGCACGCUCGUAGGAUGCGGUACGUAUUGUUGAAGAUGGAUUCAC